rnacentral:rRNA from 1 species
UACGGAGGAUCCAAGCGUUAUCCGGAAUUACUGGGCGUAAAGAGUUGCGUAGGUGGCAUAGUAAGCAGAUAGUGAAAGCGUACGGCUCAACCGUAUAUCCAUUAUCUGAACUGCUAAGCUAGAGGAUGAGAGAGGUUAUUGGAAUUCCCAGUGUAGGAGUGAAAUCCGUAGAUAUUGGGAGGAACACCGAUGGCGUAGGCAGAUAACUAGCUCAUUCCUGACACUAAGGCACGAAAGCGUGGGGAGCAAACGGG